rnacentral:rRNA from 1 species
UACGAACUGUGCGAACGUUAUUCGGAAUCACUGGGCUUACAGGGUGCGUAGGCGGCUCAACAAGUCAGGUGUGAAAGCCCCCGGCUCAACCGGGGAACUGCGCUUGAAACUGUUAGGCUCGAGUCAGCUAGAGGUACACGGAACUUCCAGUGGAGCGGUGAAAUGUGUUGAUAUUGGAAGGAACACCGGAGGCCGAAAGCGGUGUACUGGG